UACAGAGGUCCCGAGCGUUGUUCGGAUCCACUGGGCGUAAAGGGUGCGUAGGUGGUGAGGUAAGUCGGAUGUGAAAUCUCCGGGCUCAACCCGGAAAUGGCAUUGGAAACUACCUUGCUGGAGGAUUUGAGGGGGGAUUGGAAUACUUGGUGUAGCAGUGAAAUGCGUAGAUAUCAAGUGGAACACCAGUGGCGAAGGCGAAUCCCUGGAAAAUACCUGACACUGAGGCACGAAAGCUAGGGGAGCAAACAGG
rnacentral:rRNA from 1 species